GCAAAAAACUAGCUCAACAAAUAACAUUUAAAUCAACAAGCUUAUCAUCCACCUAAACAAAACUAAAACAUUCUCUAAUCCUAGUAUGGGCGACAGAAAAGAUAACUGAAGCAAUAAAAACAGUACCGCAAGGGAAAAUUGAAAAAAAUGAAACAUAUUUAAGCAAAAAAAAGCAAAGAUUAACCCUUGUACCUUUUGCACCAUGAUUUAGUCAGCAACAUCUGGGCAAAGAGAACUAAAGUCUAAAGCCCCGAAACUAGGUGAGCUACUUAAAGGCGGCCAAUAUAACUAAAGCUAUCAUCAUCUCUGUGGCAAAAGAGUGAUAAGACCAUUAAGUAGAGGUGAAAAGCCUAACGAACCUAGUGAUAGCUGGUUGCCCAAUAAACGGGUAUAAGCCCAACCCUAAAUAUUCCAAAAACAACUAAAAGUUACAAGAAAAAUUUAGGAGCCAUUCAAUUAGGGUACAGCCAAAUUGAAACAGGACACAACCUAAAAUGAAGGACAAACCACAACUCCAACCAACCGUAGGCCUUAAAGCAGCCACCACUAAAGACCGCGUCAAAGCCCACCACAAAAAAUAUAAACAACAAUUUACUCCUCAAACAACACUGGGCUACUCUACCCGAGUAGAAGAACUAAUGCUAAAAUGAGUAACAAGAAGAUAAACUUCUCUAUUACGCCAGCUUAAAUCAGAACAGACAAACUACUGAUUAUUAACAACUAAUAUAAGAACAAUAACACUAAACAGAACAUAUAACAUAAACUGUUAACCCAACACAGGAGCGUAAAAUAAGAAAGAUUAAAACCUGUAAAAGGAACUAGGCAAACAAAGGACCCGACUGUUUACCAAAAACAUAGCCCCUAGCAAUAAACAGUAUUAGGGGUGAUGCCUGCCCAGUGACACUGUUUAACGGCCGCGGUAUCCUAACCGUGCAAAGGUAGCGUAAUCACUUGUCUUUUAAAUAAAGACUAGUAUGAAAGGCUAAACGAGGUCCUACCUGUCUCUUACGGACAAUCAGUGAAAUUGAUCUCCUCGUGCAAAAGCGAGAAUACAAAUAUAAGACGAGAAGACCCUGUGGAACUUCAAAAAAAUCAUCAAUUAGCACUACACCUCCCCCACUGGGCCUAUAAAUUUCAACUAAUACCUGAUACAUAUUUUUGGUUGGGGCGACCUCGGAGCAAAACAAAACCCCCGAAAAAAGAACAUAAUUCUCUACCUAGAUAAACAAUUCAAAGUGCCCUAAGCAAAAUGAUCCAAUCAACUUGACCAACGAACCAAGCUACCCCAGGGAUAACAGCGCAAUCCCGUCACAGAGUCCCUAUCGACGACGGAGUUUACGACCUCGAUGUUGGAUCAGGACAUCCUAAUGGUGCAACAGCUAUUAAGGGUUCGUUUGUUCAACGAUUAAAGUCCUACGUGAUCUGAGUUCAGACCGGAGUAAUCCAGGUCGGUUUCUAUCUAUAACCAAAUCUUUUCCAGUACGAAAGGACCGAAAAGAUGAGGCCAAUACUUUAAGCCAAGCCUUAAACUUACAUUAGUGAACACAACUAAACUAAUAAUAAGAAUACUACCCACAGCCCAAGACACAGGGCUA
rnacentral:rRNA from 1 species